UCCCUGGUGGCUCAGACGGUAAAGCGUCUGCCUGCAAUGCGGGAGACCGGGGUUCGAUUCCUGGGUCGGGAA
rnacentral:tRNA from 1 species